rnacentral:sRNA from 1 species
GCUGGGCGUGGAGGCACAUGCCUGUAAUCCCAGCUACUCGGGAAGCUGAGGCAGGAGAAUUGCUUGAACCCAGGAGGCAGAGGUUGCAGUGAACCGAGAUCGUGCCACUGCACUCCAGCCUGGGUGACAGAGCAAGACUCUGUCUCAA